rnacentral:rRNA from 1 species
GAUAAUACUUUUCUUUGCAUAAAGGAAAGUUGAAAGGCGGUUUCGGCUGCCACUUACAGAUGGGCCCGCGGCGCAUUAGCUAGUUGGUGAGGUAACGGCUCACCAAGGCGACGAUGCGUAGCCGACCUGAGAGGGUGAUCGGCCACACUGGGACUGAGACACGGCCCAGACUCCUACGGGAGGCAGCAGUAGGGAAUCUUCCGCAAUGGACGAAAGUCUGACGGAGCAACGCCGCGUGAGUGAUGAAGGUUUUCGGAUCGUAAAACUCUGUUGUUAGGGAAGAACAAGUCGGGUAGUAACUGACCCGGCCUUGACGGUACCUAACCAGAAAGCCCCGGCUAACUACGUGCCAGCAGCCGCGGUAAUACGUAGGGGGCAAGCGUUGUCCGGAAUUAUUGGGCGUAAAGCGCUCGCAGGCGGUCCUUUAAGUCUGAUGUGAAAUCUCGCGGCUCAACCGCGAACGGUCAUUGGAAACUGGAGGACUUGAGUACAGAAGAGGAGAGUGGAAUUUCACGUGUAGCGGUGAAAUGCGUAGAGAUGUGGAGGAACACCAGUGGCGAAGGCGACUCUCUGGUCUGUAACUGACGCUGAGGAGCGAAAGCGUGGGGGAGCGAACAGGAUUAGAUACCCUGGUAGUCCACGCCGUAAACGAUGAGUGCUAGGUGUUAGGGGGUUUCCG